UGGGGAAUAUUGCACAAUGGGCGAAAGCCUGAUGCAGCAACGCCGCGUGAGUGAUGAAGGCCUUCGGGUUGUAAAGCUCUGUCUUUUGGGACGAUAAUGACGGUACCAAAGGAGGAAGCCACGGCUAACUACGUGCCAGCAGCCGCGGUAAUACGUAGGUGGCAAGCGUUGUCCGGAUUUACUGGGCGUAAAGGAUGCGUAGGCGGAUUUUUAAGUGAGAUGUGAAAUACCCGGGCUUAACUUGGGUGCUGCAUUUCAAACUGGGAAUCUAGAGUGCGGGAGAGGAGAAUGGAAUUCCUAGUGUAGCGGUGAAAUGCGUAGAGAUUAGGAAGAACACCAGUGGCGAAGGCGAUUCUCUGGACCGUAACUGACGCUGAGGCAUGAAAGCGUGGGUAGCAAACAGGAUUAGAUACCCUGGUAGUCCACGCCGUAAACGAUGAGUACUAGGUGUAGGAGGUAUCGACCCCUUCUGUGCCGCAGUUAACACAAUAAGUACUCCGCCUGGGAAGUACGAUCGCAAGAUUUAAAACUUUAAAGGAAUUUGACGGGGGUCAUAGCUGUUUU
rnacentral:rRNA from 1 species